GUGGCAUAUUUUUUUCUUUACUUUUGGACUAGCUUGGGAAAAUGACUGGAGACCUGGGCCCUUCAUCCACUUGGGUUUUCUCUUUUUGGCUUCAGUUUGGGUAUUUUUCAUUUAUUCUUAUUGUAUCUGCUUCUGGGUUCAGGACUGUAUCUUCUUAACUUGUUCAGAAAAGCAUAUAAAGCAAAGUAUAGCACUUGCAGCACUGUAGGAUUAUCAGAAUCAAAUUGUGCUUUCUGAGCCACAACCAAUCAAGAGGCUAGGACUAGGAAGGUAACACUGCCAUUAAUUAACAAAAUGGCUUUACUGCUCAAGAAUGUCUUCCAGAGGUUGGGAAAUCAUGGAGGGUGUCAGUUCAUUCAAGGAAGUUAGGACUCCAUCCAAUCCUUAAGGAAAAUCAGCCAGAAGAAAUGUCUGAGUCGGAGAAACUACAGCAAAUGUAUGGGGAGAAAUCAUCAAAGAUUCAAGAACUAAAGACAGAAAUUGAGUUAGUGAAGCAUCAUUUGAAGAACUUAAAGGAGAUUCCAGAUGACUGUACCACUGGAAACAGAGUAUAGCAAAGGCAAGGGUAGGACAGAUUAAAGGAGAAAGAAGAAGAAAUCGAAAAAGUGAGAUGAAAGAGAGAUUACCAGAGGAGAACCAAACAGAUUUACACACCACAACUCUUGGUAGCACUGUUCAACAAACUUUAUUCAAUUUCCAAAAUCCAACUAAAUUGUUGGGUACAAUCUGCUUUAUAUAAAUUAAGCAAAACGAAUCCAUCAAAACCUAUUCCUAAUUUAAAAGUGAAACAUAAUUUGACUCUAUCACUCUAAAACAGAAAUAAAGAUAAACUUUAACUCUUCUUCUC